UGUGACAUCUUGUCUGAAUGCGUGUGUAUGUGCCGCAAGAUGGCGACACUGAACACGUUUGAAAAAAUAUUAUUUUCACUGAUGUAUAUUGUUCACAGUUUUUCACAUUAAAUUCAGAAGGCAUGGCGGCGGGCGAUGCAGGGGUGCUCCACAUUUUCAAUUUUUAGCUCGCCAUGCAAUUCUUGGUCGUGGUGAAUUGGAAAGGCACUUGGAAAAUCACGGGCGCAUGAGCACCUAUC